GACGAAUGCUGGCUGCGUGCUUAACACAUGCAAGUCGAACGGUGAAGGGGAGCUUGCUCCCCGGAUCAGUGGCGAACGGGUGAGUAACACGUGGGCAACCUGCCCCCCACUCUGGGAUAACUCCGGGAAACCGGGGCUAAUACCGGAUACGACCGGGAGCGACAUCGCUCCUGGUGGAAAGAACUUCGGUGAGGGAGGGGCCCGCGGCCUAUCAGCUAGUUGGUGGGGUAACGGCCCACCAAGGCGACGACGGGUAGCCGGCCUGAGAGGGCGACGGGCCACACUGGGACUGGGAAACGGCCCAGGCUCCUACGGGGGGCAGCAGUGGGGAAUAUGGCGCAAGGGGCGAAAGCCUGACGCAGCGACGCAGCGUGAGGGACGAAGGCCUUCGGGUUGUAAACCUCUUUCAGCGGGGACGAAGCGAAAGUGACGGUACCCGCAGAAGAAGCACCGGCUAACUACGUGCCAGCCGCCGCCGUAA
rnacentral:rRNA from 1 species